GAUGAAGAACGCAGCGAAAUGCGAUAAGUAAUGUGAAUUGCAGAAUUCAGUGAAUCAUCGAAUCUUUGAACGCACAUUGCGCCCGCCAGCAUUCUGGCGGGCAUGCCUGUUCGAGCGUCAUUUCAACCCUCGAGCCCCCCCGGGGGCCUCGGUGUUGGGGGACGGCACACCAGCCGCCCCCGAAAUGCAGUGGCGACCCCGCCGCAGCCUCCCCUGCGUAGUAGCACACACCUCGCACCGGAGCGCGGAGGCGGUCACGCCUUAAAACGCCCAACUUUCUUAGAGUUGACCUCGGAUCAGGUAGGAAUACCCGCUGAACUUAAGCAUAUCAAUAAGCGGAGGA
rnacentral:misc_RNA from 1 species